rnacentral:rRNA from 1 species
CUACGGGAGGCAGCAGUGAGGAAUAUUGGACAAUGGGCGCAAGCCUGAUCCAGCCAUGCCGCGUGCAGGAAGAAGGUCCUAUGGAUUGUAAACUGCUUUUAUACAGGAAGAAACACCUCUACGUGUAGAGACUUGACGGUACUGUAUGAAUAAGGACCGGCUAACUCCGUGCCAGCAGCCGCGGUAAUACGGAGGGUCCAAGCGUUAUCCGGAAUCAUUGGGUUUAAAGGGUCCGUAGGCGGUUUAAUAAGUCAGUGGUGAAAGCCCAUCGCUCAACGAUGGAACGGCCAUUGAUACUGUUAAACUUGAAUUAUUAGGAAGUAACUAGAAUAUGUAGUGUAGCGGUGAAAUGCUUAGAGAUUACAUGGAAUACCAAUUGCGAAGGCAGGUUACUACUAAUAUAUUGACGCUGAUGGACGAAAGCGUGGGGAGCGAACAGGAUUAGAUACCCUGGUAGU